ensembl:lncRNA
CUGGCUGCAGUGUCCCUGGAGUGGUUGCAGUGUCCCGUGUUGUGCCCAUUAGUGUGGAUGCAGUGCCCAUGCAGUCAAUGGAGAGUACCAAAAGUUGGAUGCCGUAUGUUGUGACAGAGGAUGCAGAGCCCUGGAGUUGGAUGCAGUGAGCCAGAAGUGAUUGCAGUACGCCUUCAGUGCCACUUCAGCUGGAUGCAGUGUCCCUGCAGUGGUUGCAAUGCCCCCUGCAUUGUCUUGGAAUGUGGAUGCCGUGCUCCUGCAGUGGAUGCAGUGUCCCACAAUGUGGAGGCAUUGUGGUGUGUUGUAGUAUGCAGUGCCUAUGCAGUGGAUGCAGUGAAUCUUCAGUGAUUGCACUGCACCUGCAUUGCCACUUCAGCUGGAUGCAGUGUAGCUGAAGUGGUUGCAGAGCCCACUCCCAUGUCCCUGAAUGUGGAUGCUGUGCACAUGCAGUGUCUGCAGUGUGACUCAAGGCGGAUGCAGUAUGUUGUGAAGCAGGAUUCAGUGCCCAUGAAGGACGAUGCAGUGAUCCUGCAGUCAUUGCAAUGCACCUGCAGUGCCACUUCAUCUGGAUGCAGUGUCCCUGCAGUGGUUGAAGUGCACCCUGCUGUGUCCCUGAAUGUGGAUGCUGUCAACAUGCAGUGGAUGCAGUGAUCAUGCAGUGAUUGCAGUGCACAUGCAUUUCCUCAUCAGCUGGAAGCAGUGUUGUUGCAGUGGUUGCAGUGUCACCUUCUGUGUCCCUGAAGGUGAAUGCAGUGCCCAUGCAGAGAGGGCAGUGUCCCUAAAGGUUUAUGCAGUAUGUUGUGACAGAGGAUGCAGUGUGCAUGAAGGUGGAAGCAGUGUCUCUGCAGUGGUUGCAGGGCCCCCAGCAUUGUGCUGGAAUGUGGAUGCAGUGCUCAUGCAGUAGCUGCAGUGUCCCACAAUGUGGUGGCAUUGUGUGUUGUAGUAUGCAGUGCCAAUGAAGGUGAAUUCAGUGACCCAACCGUAGACGUCAGUGCACCUUCAGUGCCACUUUAGUUGGAUGCAGUGUUGUUGCAGUGGUUGCAGUGCCCCCUGCAUUGUGCAGGAAUGUGGAUGCAGUGCCCAGGCAGUGGAUGCAGUGUCCCACAAUGUGCAUGCAGUAUGUUGUGAUGGAGGAUGCAGUGCCCAUGAAGGUGGAUGCAGUGAUCCUACAGUGGUUGCAGUGCCCCCUGCAUUUUACCUGAAUGUGGAUGCAGUGCUCAUGCAGUGGAUGCAGUGUCCCUCAAUGUGGCUGGCGUAUGUUGUGAUGGAGGAUUUAGUGAUCAUGAAGGAGGAUGCAGUGAUUCUGCAGUCAUUGCAAUGCCCCUGCAGUUCCACUUCAGCUGGCUGCAGUGAUCCUGCAGUGGUUGCAAUGCCCCCUGCAUUGUCCUGGAAUGUGGAUGCAGUGCUCAUGCACUGGUUGCAGUGUCCCACACUGUGGAGUCAUUGCGGUGUGUUGUAGUAUGCAGUGACAAUGAAGGUGGAUGCAGUGAUGCUGCAGUGGUUGCAGUGCCCCCUACCGUUCCCUGAAUAUGGAUUUAGUGCCCAUGCAGUAGUUGUAGUGUCCCACAUGUUGGAUGUCGUAUGUUGUGAUGGAAGAUGAAGUGCCAACGAAUGUGGAUUCAGUGAGCCUGUGCU